rnacentral:rRNA from 1 species
AUUGAACGCUGGCGGCAUGCUUUACACAUGCAAGUCGAACGGUAACAGGCCGCAAGGUGCUGACGAGUGGCGAACGGGUGAGUAAUGCAUCGGAACGUGCCCAGUCGUGGGGGAUAACGCAGCGAAAGCUGUGCUAAUACCGCAUACGAUCUAUGGAUGAAAGCGGGGGACCGUAAGGCCUCGCGCGAUUGGAGCGGCCGAUGUCAGAUUAGGUAGUUGGUGGGAUAAAAGCUUACCAAGCCGACGAUCUGUAGCUGGUCUGAGAGGACGAUCAGCCACACUGGGACUGAGACACGGCCCAGACUCCUACGGGAGGCAGCAGUGGGGAAUUUUGGACAAUGGGCGAAAGCCUGUUCCAGCAAUGCCGCGUGCAGGAUGAAGGCCUUCGGGUUGUAAACUGCUUUUGUACGGAACGAAAAGCCCUGGGUUAAUACCCUGGGGUCACGACGGUACCGUAAGAAUAAGCACCGGCUAACUACGUGCCAGCCGCCGCCGUAA